GCUACACCAGACUAAGGCCGUGUUUACACCAAACGCCGUGUACAGUAAACAUGUUUACCUUUGGUUAAAUGUAAUGUACACUAGUUUCACAUUUAAUUUGUUCACAUCUUUACACUUUGUUUAGUUACCUAUACAUCAGAUUCGUUUACCUUCUACACACAUACUUCGACAGAGAAAAUUGAAGGAACUAUCUGAAAACAGUCUUUAAUUUGUAAGUGUUAGUUGAUUUUAUAUUAUUUUUAUCUGGCUUUAUAACUUAUAUAUCAUUUGAUAUAUAUUUCAGAUGUGCCAUGCUACACCAGACUAAGGCCGUGUUUACACCAAACGCCGUGUACAGUAAACAUGUUUACCUUUGGUUAAAUGUUUAUGUACACUAGUUUCACAUUUAAUUUGUUCACAUCUUUACACUUUGAUUAGUUACCUGUACAUCAGAUUUGUUCACACAGUUUGUUUAGUUACCUGUACAUCAGAUGUGUUCACAGUUAGGGAACGACCAUUUGACUUUAAAAAAAGAGGGGGUGGAUUUUUCCACAGUUUGAUUUAAAAAAAGAAUUGGGUCUUACAGAUGAUUAGAAUGAACAAAUAUUCUUAAUCCAAAGUUUCCCGAUACAUUAUAGUGUUAAUAUUGAAUUACAUCGAAAAAAAAAACUAAAUAUAAAGUUACGCGCGACAAAAAAAUUCCGACUCGGACCCCCCCUUUUUUUAAAGUAAUAUAGUUUAAAAAGUCAUUUUGGUUAAUUUGCGGUAGUUUAAAGGUGUAUCGAUUACGCAUUAAAAACGUAGGCUGCAUCAGCAUGCUUACAGACGAAGAAAAAGAAUUGCGAUGUAAAGGAUCACUACAUUUCUUUCUUUUUUGUUUGUUUCAAAUGGUAUUUUUUCUCCAAGGUGUAUUUGGUUAGGGGAGGGGGUAAUGUUUUUUUUUUAAUUCCAAUUGUAUUUUAACGGAUCUGAGAUACUACACAAACAAACAAUUAACCUCGCCCUUUUUCAGUAAUGCAUUUAUGAGUAAAUCGUGGUUUGAGUAAAGACCAGUGGCAAAUAUUUCUGUCAGUGUGUACGUCCAGUCGAUUCGGGAAGACAUUUUCAAAUGAUUUAUGUGUUCGGCUAUGAUGAUGGAUGAGAUUAGAGAUUAAUAAGGCUACGUAAAGUGUUUUUAUAACAAAUAAAUAUAUCAAGUUUAAACAAAUAUUUCUGUAAAGAACUUUAUUAAUAAGUGUUAUAAGUAUCAAUUUUAUAUAAAAAAUCGUUUUUUUUAAAUAAACAUGGGAAAAUUAAAGUUCUGAAUGCCUAGUUUUGAGUACACUUAACCUACACAAGCCCUACAUCGACUAUCGACUGCAUGUAGAGAAAACAUGAUUUAAACUACAUGUAAACAUGUGAUUUUAAGUACAGCACCAAACUAUUUUUUUUUUUUCAUGUUCAAAUUUGAUCGUUAAGAUGAAGGUUAUAUAAUCGAAAAUUCUUACGCAGGAAAAUUUUAUCAUACAUUAUAAUACAUUGUAUAUCCUUUAGGUGAGCAAAUCCUCUGCAAGAUGAAAAUAGUCAAGAUCCUGUGUGCAAUGUUCAUAAUGCUAUAUCAGUUUUAGCAGGAACAGCUAGUGGACAACAACUAGGUCUACCACAUUCAGGACGACUUGAAUUUAACAGAGUAAAACGAGAUGCUAAUGACAAUUUUGAUAGAAUCGGAACGUAACUGAUAAUUACAAAAAAAAAUUAUAAUUCAUUAUAUUGAGUUUUAAAUUACUACUGCUACUACUAUUACUCCAAUAAUACUAAUAAUAAUAAUAAUA
rnacentral:lncRNA from 1 species